CUCUCACUGCAAUGUGGAAAACAGAAAAGAGAUGUGGAAGAGUGGCAGUCAUGUAGCUAAGAGGUUUUCACGGUAAUCCAGGCCUUGAGACCAGAGGAUACAAUCAAUGGAGUGUGGCAAGAAAGGAGAACCAAGGGCUAAAUCUUGUGGAAUUUUAAAUGAAGCUAGCAGAAGAUGUCAUGCAUCAAAAUGAGAAAUAAUCUUUAAAAAGAGGAUGACAUGGGAUCAAAAAUCAGGAGUUCCAACACAAGAGAAGAAAAUAAUCAAGAUGCUGCUUAAAGGAAGAUCAAGGAUGACAACCAGCUUAGAGAACAACCAUUCAGAUCAGCGGACAGAGGACUAUAGGAAAUUUGUCCCCAAGAAAAAAUAAUAGGCUACUGAGAUAUUUGAAUAAUGUACAUUUCUUCUGGAAAUUUCAGGGGUGAUAGUAUAUACAAAUCUAAGAAAACAAAUAAAUAAGCGAGCAGAGAAAAUCAUGCAGUGUCAAGCUGCACAAACUUCAAACUCAGCAUACGUUAAAAGCAUGUGUUAGAGUUGGUUGUGUAUAAUAUAUCUAAUGGCAAAUUGGUUUAAAAUUGAAUAUUGCAAAAUUGGGAAUUAUUCAUAUGAGCUUAAAAGUGUUGUCAAGAUUUUAGGGAAGCAAUCCACUGUCCUCCUUCAUUCAAGGACUUGUUUUGUGCUCUCUCUGCCUGAAAUGCUCUUCCCCAAGAUGUUUGGUUGACUUACUGUCUUAAUCAUUCAGGUCUUUGCUCAAGCAUCACUUCUUUGCUUAAUUUAUUAAA
rnacentral:lncRNA from 1 species